AGCUGGAACGCGGGCGGGAGGAGAGCAGGGUGACCCACGGCUCUCAGGACGCCAGGCCCGCCAUCUUCCCGCAUGCGCAGUGCGCCGCCCCCAGUGCGCAUGCCCGGCGCGGCCGGAGCGCUCCCAAACACAGACCCGCUCCCGAAGGCCGGAGCCCGAGAAGUCCCGGAGAGCGGAGUCCGCGGAAAGGAUGGCGAAGGAAAAGGAAGACAUGGAGCAGGAAUUCCAGACGAAGGGAACGGGGCGAGAGGAAAGAGGCAGCCGGGACAACGCAGUGGUCGCCUCGGAAUUCUCGACACUAAAGGUCAGUACCCUUUUUAGGAAGGUGAUGAGGCACAAGGACAAACACUUGGCGGGAAAGGAGUGUCGUAGAGAUGGAAGGAUGCAGAAAGAGGAGAGGUGGCAUGGAGGAAGGAACAGACAAACCUGGACUGGAGCGAGUCCUGCAUCCACCCUUAUUAGCCUCACUGGCAAGCAUCUUAACCCUUAGGAUCCUCAGUUUCUCUGUUUGUAAACUGAGGGUAAACAUACCUCCAAUUCUGCUGUGUUAGAGACAAUGGACGUCAAGUCCCUGGUGCAUUGAAUCCAUCUUCAGUGGUAACACAAACUUCCUAGCUUCACAGGGGCUGUUUCUAACCAAGUCUCAAAGCUCCCUACCCCAGUGACUAAAAAUGGUUCUAAAAUGACAUCAAGUAGAACAAAGCCGGGCGGCUGACUCUUUGUUCUGAGGUUUUUGUUCAGAGUUUGACAAGCUUUCCAGAGAGCUCCCAAGAAGAUGCUAGCCCACGAAAGUUGUCAUUGGUCCAGAUGCACGGAUUCAGUCUCUCCACUUAGCAACAGUAUUUGCCUCCUGCUUCAGAAAAGGAAACAAAAAAGUAAGCCUGCAGUUAAAUACACCCACAAGGGCAAAUCCCCAUGAAAGCCUGUCAAAAAAGAGCUGUGGGAAAGAUGAGCUAUUGCUGUACGCCUGGGUGAACUCCAAUGAGGAAGCCACAAAGGGGAGGGAGGAUGGGCACAGGGGCUUGUCAGUUGCAGCCCCCCAAAGGGUUUCAGCCUUUCCCUCCUCCUGAUUCCCACUGCCCCACAACUGCCCUCAUAGUCAUUGUUCCUGGACUGUUUUAACUGCUUCCUAAUUCAUUCGCCUGUCCUGCCAUUUCCAAGGGACUCUAUACUAUCACUGUCAAAUUAAACAACUGCCUUUUGGGGGGUGGCUGUUGACCUUUCAUUGCAGGAGAAAUCUUUCUAAAGCGUGGGUCUGAUCUCAUCACUCCUCUGCUUAAAAGCUGUCAGUGUACUUUGUCUGUAUUAUGCUUGAGGUUAGUGGUUUCCCCUGGGCACUGGUCACUUGCCUGCCUAGCUGUCUCCCGCAUCACACUUUUGGAGGGAGGGCAGGGGCUGGGUCCUGGGCACUCAGGGGCCCCCACCACCUUAUCAGAGCCAUUGGAUGCAUCACUUUCUCUCAGUCACAUUAAUCUUCAUUCAAUUCCUCAAAAGCUUUCCCUCACUGCUGAGUCUUCUCACAUCUUGUUUUCUUUGCUAGAACGUUAACCCUUUGACGCCUCCCCUAGCAAAUGCCUCAUCCUUAUUUUUCACAUUCUCCCCACCCCUCAGAAAGGCUUCUCUGAACCCCCAGAUGAGGCUAGCGCCCCAGCCUCCUUCCCAUGUGUUGUCUGAUGAGCCCCACAACCUGGACUGAUGCCCCCAGUAACCUUUCACCAUCCAUAGACACAUUACAUUAUAAAUAAAUAGCAUUUGAAAAAAACCUAAACUCUUUACUAUGUUGACUUCAAAAUGUAAAUUCUAAAGCAAAACAUGGCAACCCAAAUUAUAGAGGUAAUAGUUUGUCUUAAAUCUUUGAAGCACACCUUAACGCUGGAUUUUGUUUUAAUUCAGCAUUAUCAGAUUAUUGAUAAGUUUAGCAACUUUUAUUUUUCCUCCGACUGAAUUUUAUGAUGAAUGAUACUAAUGUUCUUAGUAUUUCUUAAAUAUUGUAGGUUUACGUUAGUUUCAUUUUGGGAAAAGAAAAUCCAUUUUAUUAAUUGUGUUAUUGUGUUAUUAAUUGUGCUAUUAUAAAAUCCAUUUGUAUUAAUUGUGUGGAAAGAAGACUUACAAUCAGCAAACUUGAAACCUUUUGUUUUCUUUGUUAGGUAGUUACACAUCAUUUUUAUAAUGAAAAAGAUAAAUGAUAAUACCUUCCCCUAAAAGAAAAGAAAGUUGCCAAAUAUUGGAGGAUAACCACGUUGGUUUCAGACUUCUGAUACCAACAGUACAAAAUUAUCAUUAGACCUCUGAGAAAUUUUGGACGAUGAAAAUUAAACAAGAAAGCUGUUAAUUUUUUGAAGAGGCUCAUUUAUAUGGCUCAAAAUUCAAAAGGUACCAGAGUAAACAGUGAAAAAUGUCCCUCCCACGCCUGUCUCUCAGCGGUGAAGUCUAAAGUCCUCUCUGAAGCUCACAUUGCACGGGUUUUAUAUGGAUUGUUGCAGAGAUAUUUUAUGCACAAAUAGUGCUCUAUGUUAUUUCCCCAAGCCUUGUUUGCACACUAAUAAUCAUACUAUUUCUCGAUUUUUUUAACCUAGCAAAAUAUCUUGCAGAUUGUUCCCUAACAGCGCAAUAAAAGUUUUUCUCACUCUU